rnacentral:rRNA from 1 species
CCUACGGGAGGCAGCAGUGGGGAAUCUUCCGCAAUGGGCGCAAGCCUGACGGAGCAACGCCGCGUGAAUGAAGAAGGUCUUCGGAUCGUAAAGUUCUGUUCUUAGGGAAGAAGUCUUAGGUUGUGAAUAAUGACUUAAUGUGACGGUACCUAUGGAGAAAGCUCCGUCUAACUACGUGCCAGCAGCCGCGGUAAUACGUAGGGAGCGAGCGUUAUCGGGAAUUACUGGGCGUAAAGGACGCUAAGGCGGGAAAUUAAGUUAGAUGUGAAAACGCCGGGCUUAAACUGGGGACUGCAUUUAAGACUGGGUUUCUUGAGGGCAGGAGAGGAAAGUGGAAUUCCUAGUGGAGCGGUGAAAUGCGUAGAUAUUAGGAGGAACACCAGUGGCGAAGGCGACUUUCUGGACUGUACCUGACGCUGAGGCGCGAAAGCAUGGGGAGCGAACAGGAUUAGAUACCCGAGUAGUC